rnacentral:rRNA from 1 species
GUGGGGAAUUUUGGACAAUGGGGGAAACCCUGAUCCAGCGACGCCGCGUGAAGGACGAAGGCCUUCGGGUUGUAAACUUCUUUUGGAGGGGACGAAUAAAUUGACGGUACCCUCAGAAAAAGCCACGGCUAACUACGUGCCAGCAGCCGCGGUAAUACGUAGGUGGCGAGCGUUACUCGGAAUUACUAGGCGUAAAGCGUAUGUAGGUGGUCAGAUAAGUCUAUGGUGAAAUUUCCUGGCUCAACUGGGAAGGGACAUAGAUACUAUCUGGCUUGAGUGUGGGAGGGGAAGACGGAAUUCCUGGUGUAGCGGUGAAAUGCGUAGAUAUCAGGAGGAACACCGAUGGCGAAAGCAGUCUUCUGGCCCAAUACUGACACUGAGGUACGAAAGCUAGGGUAGCAAACAGGAUUAGAUACCCCAGUAGUCC